CCUACGGGAGGCAGCAGUGAGGAAUAUUGGUCAAUGGACGAGAGUCUGAACCAGCCAAGUAGCGUGAAGGAUGACAGCCCUAUGGGUUGUAAACUUCUUUUAUAUGGGAAUAAAAUGUUCCACGUGUGGGAUGUUGUAUGUAUCAUAUGAAUAAGGAUCGGCUAACUCCGUGCCAGCAGCCGCGGUAAUACGGAGGAUCCGAGCGUUAUCCGGAUUUAUAGGGUUUAAAGGGAGCGUAGGUGGAUUGUUAAGUCAGUUGUGAAAGUUUGCGGCUCAACCGUAAAAUUGCAGUUGAAACUGGCAGUCUUGAGUACAGUAGAGGUGGGCGGAAUUCGUGGUGUAUCGGUGAAAUGCUUAGAUAUCACGAAGAACUCCGCUUGCGAAGGCAGCUCACUGGACUGCAACUGACACUGAGGCUCGAAAGUGUGGGUAUCAAACAGGAUUAGAUACCCCUGUAGUC
rnacentral:rRNA from 1 species